UACGGGAAGCAGCAGUGGGGAAUAUUGCACAAUGGGCGCAAGCCUGAUGCAGCCAUGCCGCGUGUAUGAAGAAGGCCUUCGGGUUGUAAAGUACUUUCAGUCGUGAGGAAGGUGUUAAGGUUAAUAACCUUAGCAAUUGACGUUAGCGACAGAAGAAGCACCGGCUAACUCCGUGCCAGCAGCCGCGGUAAUACGGAGGGUGCGAGCGUUAAUCGGAAUUACUGGGCGUAAAGGGCACGCAGGCGGUUAAUUAAGUUGGAUGUGAAAUCCCCGGGCUUAACCUGGGAAUGGCAUUCAGACUGGUUAGCUAGAGUCUUGUAGAGGGGGUAGAAUUCCAUGUGUAGCGGUGAAAUGCGUAGAGAUGUGGAGGAAUACCGGUGGCGAAGGCGGCCCCUGGACAAAGGACUGACGCUCAUGUGCGAAGCGUGGGGAGCAAACAGGGAUUAGAUACC
rnacentral:rRNA from 1 species